CCUACGGGAGGCAGCAGUAGGGAAUCUUUCACAAUGGGCGAAAGACUGAUGGAGCAACGCCGCGUGCAGGAUGAAGGCCUUCGGGUUGUAAACUGUCUUUAUAAGCGAGAAAUAUGAUGGUAACUUAUGAAUAAUGAUCGUCUAACUACGUGCCAGCAGCGGCAGUCAUACGUAGGAUCCGAGCAUUAUCCGGAGGGACUGGGUGUAAAGAGUUGCGUAGGUGGCAUAAUAAGUAGCUAGUGAAAUCUGGUGGCUCAACCCUUCAGACUAUUGGCUAAACUGUUAAGCUCGAGACCGUUAGGGGUAACUGGAAUUUCUGGUGUAGGAGUGAAAUCCGUAGAUAUU
rnacentral:rRNA from 1 species